UCCUGUGUACACAAUAUCGCACAUGCCGUUCUGAAAAAACUCACUUUAAAAAUCCCUUAAUAUUAGCAGAAUACAGGUUGAGUCAGGCAAUCACAUGGUUGUGGUUGUGUGAAAUGAGUGCUAGUGAGGACCAUGUGUCUCACCUGUGUGACAUGUGUGACCUUCUCUGUGACGUCUCGGUGGCGGUCCUUUACUUUGCUGGGAGCGAUGAUCUCGAUCUCAGUGGGCGAUGGCGGUCGCAAGAGGUCGGAGGCGAAACUGAGUGUGAGGGGGUUACGAGUGCUGGUCCUGCGUCGCAUCAGGUCCGAGUCUGAGGUGGAGCUCAGAGUACCGGCCUUCAGGUGAGAAACAUCUUGGAUUAUACUGAGCAAAGCAUCUGAGUGAGAAAGACACAGAGAGAGUUUAUUAUCUGUUGCACUUGUUUUGGCAAUGUAAACAUAUGUUUCUCAUGCCAAUAAAGCCAAUUAAAUUGAAUUGAUAGAGUAAUGAAAUGACAGGGAGUGUGUUAAUGCAUUGCGGGGAUGCAUGUAUUCCUCUACAUUAUUUCCCUGGGGUAGAUGGGAAGUCCACAGCCCUACACUCCAUAGCCCAUAGUAUUAGCUGUUUGAUGAGUAAAGGAUGGCCUCUGAGUGACUGGGACUCCUAUAGACCUGGCACACACACACACACACACACACACACACACACACACACACACACACACACACACACACACACACACACACACACACACACACACACACACACACACACACACAUACACAGGCUAUAGGUUAGAGACAUUGAUUAGUGACCCUGCUGCAGCACAUGCUCAGUGCUUGAGGAAUGGGAGUGAGGAUUUGCAUUUUCUAGAGAACAGAAUACCUCCAACAGGCCCAGGUAGCUUUGGCUUGGUUUGUUUUGAUUCAGAUGGAACUGUAAGAGGAGACAGCCACAUUUCUUCCUGUCAGAGGGGGUACAAAAAUGGCAACAGACUACACUUAUGUCUGGGUACACACACACACAAACUCACUGCUGUUGGAGCGUGGGUCUCCCGGUCGGCCAGACUCGACCCUCAUGCUGUCGAGGUCAUCCAGGGAGGAAGCUCUGCGGAGGCUGCCGACAGUCUCUCUGGAGCGGCUCCGGGGCAGGACCGUCCUGGGGAAGGCUGCACUGGAGAAGGGGCUGCUGGGGAGGAAGGGCACGCUGGGUUCCAGCCGCUCUGACAAUAGGGACAGCAGUUUGGGGGAGUAGUGGCUUGCAGGCUGGGAGGACUCGUGGUCCUGCUCUAUCAGCGCCUCUGUCUCAGACUGCAUGCAGCUCUCCUUGGACAAGAUACGGAACUCUUUCAGAGGGAUCUCUUCACUGUUGGGCUGAAUUAGGGAAGGAGGAAGAGGACAACCAUAGGUUAAAUAUUGUACUAGAUUUCUACUUACUGCUAAAUGUAUGUGACUGAAGCUAUAUUCAUUACAAAACAUAAGAGAUACAGGAACUGAGAUAAUCAAGAUAUAUUAUAUGUAAGGUCAUAUUUAGACGAAUACUGUGUGUAUAAGCCUAUGUGUGUAUGGGAGUCUCUGGCCACCUUACCUGUGGGUAGUCCACCACCACCCCCCCAAACUGGUCUUUGGCGAGGGAAGACCGACGCAUUGCACGUACCAAUGGCAGUCUCAACUUCAGCCUGCGACUCUGCCCUGAGAAACCACAGAGUGCUUAUACAUACACUUUACAUAAAUACACAUACAGUACCAGGAUGUAGUCACAUUCUGUAUGUUAUAACACAGCUACAUUCAACAUGGCAUCAACAGGUUGAUGCAGACAGACAGACAGACAGACAGUAUCACACACACACUUCCACACUGACCUGCCCAUAUCCAGCCCUGGGCCACCCUCUGUCUCAGACCUGGUUUCUUGAGGGAGGGGUCAAUGAUUUCCUGGAAGUUGAGGAUGAACAUGAUGACCUGUCCCUCUGCUUUCUUCACAGGAACAACAUCAAUCAGACAGGGCCUGCAGGUCCCUGCAGGGGGGAGAGACAUAACAUUAUAAAGCUGCUAAUGGCCAUCCGAACCUGAGCUCAAAGUUUGUCUUGUCAAGUCAACGAGCGUGUUUUUCUGUGCUCCUGCUUUUUCUUGUCUCUGUUUUUCUAGUCCUCCUGGUUUUGACCUUUUGCCUGCCCUGACACUGAGCCCGCCUGCCUGACCAUUCAGCCUGCCCUGACCUUGAGCCUGCCUGACUCCCUGUACCGUUUGGAACUCUGAUCUGGUUCUGAACUUUUACCUAUCCUCGACCUGCCUCUUGCCUGCCCUUUGUUGUUUAAUAAAUAUCAGAGACUCGAA